rnacentral:rRNA from 1 species
CCCUUAGAUGUCCUGGGCCGCACGCGCGCUACACUGAUGCAUUCAACGAGUCUUACCUUGGCCGAGAGGCCUGGGCAAUCUUUUGAACCUGCAUCGUGAUAGGGAUAGAUUAUUGCAAUUAUUAAUCUUGAACGAGGAAUUCCUAGUAAACGCAGAUCAUCAAUCUGCAUUGAUUACGUCCCUGCCCUUUGUACACACCGCCCGUCGCACCUACCGAUUGAAUGGUCCGGUGAAGCCUCGGGAUUGUGGCGAGUUCCCUUUAUUGGGAGUUUGUCGCGAGAACUUGUCUAAACCUUAUCAUUUAGAGGAAGGUGAAGUCGUAACA